UGGGCGAUCGUUCAACGGCAGGACAGCGGACUCUGACUCCGUUAAUCUAGGUUCGAAUCCUAGUCGCCCAGCCA
rnacentral:tRNA from 2 species